AGGCAUUUGGUCUAGUGGUAUGAUCUUUUCUUUUGGUGCAAGUGGUUGUGAGUUUGAUUCUCACAAUGCCCU
rfam:Picea glauca, whole genome shotgun sequence.